GACGAACGCUGGCGGCGUGCCUAAUACAUGCAAGUCGAACGAGUGGCGGACGGGUGAGUAAUGUCUGGGAAACUGCCUGAUGGAGGGGGAUAACUACUGGAAACGGUAGCUAAUACCGCAUACCAUCAGAUGUGCCCAGAUGGGAUUAGCGAGUAGGGGGGGUAACGGCUAAUCUAGGCGACGAUCCCUAGAUGGUCUGAGGGGAGGACCAGCCACACGGGAACUGAUACACGGUCCAGACUCCUACGGGAGGCAGCAGGGGGGAAUAUUGAACAAUGGGCGAAAGCCCGAUGCAGCCAUGCCGCGUGUAUGAAGAAGGCCUUCGGGUUGUAAAGUACUUUCAGCGGGGAGGCGUUACCCGCAGAAGAAGCACCGGCUAACUCCGUGCCAGCAGCCGCGGUAAUAC
rnacentral:rRNA from 1 species